GCUGGGUACAAUGGUGCACACCUGUAGUCCCAGCUACUCAGGAGGCUGAGGCAAGAGGAUUGCUUAAGACCAGCAAGUCUGGGCUGAAGUGUGCUAUGCCAGUCAGGUGUCCACAUUAAGUUGGGCAUAAGUAUGGUGACCUCUUAGGAACAGAGGACCACCAGAUUGCCUAAGGAGACGUGAACCAGACAAGGUUGGAAACAGAGCAGGUCAAAACUCCUGUGCUAGUCAAUAGUGAGAUAACACCUGUGAAUAGCCACUGCAUCCCAGCCUUGACAACAUAGUGAAACCCAAUCUCUU
rnacentral:SRP_RNA from 10 species